UCCCGCAUCGGAGUGUCGCCACCGCUGUGAAUGGCGCAUGCAGGCAUAAUUCCGCUGCGCUUGAUCCACAGCCGCAGACACAACUCAUGCUCGAAACUCAUCUGGCUGCCAUGGCCGAACUAGCAUGGCUGGGCAGGAAGUGACUGCUGCGGUACCAUUUCACCUGCUCCGAAGAAGACUGCUUCUGAGAGUGUCAUUCUCAGUAUGCCUUUCUGCUAUUGAGAACUGUGAAUUUUCAGUGGCGGCUGCAUAAGUGGUGCUUGCCCUGCAUACUGUGGUAGAGGUUGUGGUGACUGCCUUGCGCUUACUGCGGAUUUUACAGGCGUGUACGAAGUGGUGAAAGGCGCCCUUCGAAGGUGACAGUGAUCAUCAAGGUGGAUCCCGAAGCAGUCUCGAACCUGACGAGCUGAUCCCGAGCAGGAGGUGACGUUUUCUUACUAACCACCAUCUGUCUUCAGAUAAAUGCGAAAGUCGGUAUUCGUGCCUACAUAGCAAUCGAAAAUUCUUUUACUUACGGAUCGAUUCUCACGACUCAUACGGUAAAAUGAGAAAAGGUACAUUUCAUGCACAAGAUCAAGAGAGUAAUCACGACCACAGGAACAGAAGAUGUUAUAAUGCAUCAUGUUCCGGUUGGAGAAGCGAUAUGCCGGUAUUCGGAACAUCUUUUUCUAGCGGAUGUCUGGAGGAGUCCUUCGCAUGGAGGGAUGAUAUACCUCGUAUCAGGGGUUGUAGUGGUGGAGAUUACGAGCAUUUCGAAUCUCUUCAGGGAGCGGAAGAGUGAUUGCUAAUCUGUAAAUGCUGGACAGCGUGUGUGGAUUAUGGCUCGUCAUUUCGUUCAGGAUUCUGCCUCUACAGAUGGAGCCGUUCUAUUCGGUCAAAGCAAGCGUUAUGUUCCAUCCAGAAUCUCGAAUCCAGGUUACUUGAAACGCGUCAUCCUCUGAAGCGACCUCUGAUGGUGUAGAUCGCGUUGAACAUUGGUUUGAGGACGUCCACAGCAGUUCGCACCAAUUUGAAUAUUGGAAUACCAGAGAAGCUGGUCUGUCAAGAUCGAGUGUACUCGGGAGGGUACCUUCAGGUUCUCCGGCAAAAGCACAAGUUAACAUUCUUACCGUAACAAUGUGGCUUGAAUAGUGCUUCACAGUUUGGAACGCACAGUGAAUGGAUAUACCAAAUGAUGCACAUCAAGAUCCUAAAUUUUGAUACGACUGACGACCUUGGUGCGAAGUGACAGAUGAUUGUGAUGAGUGAAGCUCGUCAUUGAAGUGUAACGGAGUGGGAAUGAACAAUAGAGCAGUGUCGUCAAUUUCUCGAUCGAUCUCAGUGUUGUGUAGGACGGCCUGCACUUUCCAGGUGACGGAACCCCCUGCUUUCACCUAUCCAGCAAAGGAAGUCACACUCAGACCAUAUUAGGGUUCAUGUUCGUCAAGUUUUCAUUUAUUUUUCUGUCCGUAUGUUUGUCCAUCUGCUUGAGUUUUGCUUGCCUAAUUCUAUCUAAGCCUUGUAUCUAUGCACAUCAGCUUGAUGUGCAAGCAACCUCGAAACUCUUGCUUCUUAGUCUAGGAUUUGAAAAUCGAGUUGUCGGUACGAGGGUUGGCUAUGUCAUUCACAGGGGACAGUCGCAUUGGAGUCAUAAUCCUAGUUGGAUUAGUUUGUGUGCACGAUAUGAAAUUGGAAUUUCUCGUUUUCAUUUUGUUU